rnacentral:rRNA from 1 species
UCUUGCCUACGGGGCGCAGCAGUGGGGAAUAUUGCGCAAUGGGGGCAACCCUGACGCAGCAACGCCGCGUGAUUGAAGAAGGCCUUCGGGUUGUAAAGAUCUUUAAACAGGGACGAAGAAAUGACGGUACCUGAAGAAUAAGCUCCGGCUAACUACGUGCCAGCAGCCGCGGUAAUACGUAGGGAGCAAGCGUUAUCCGGAUUUACUGGGUGUAAAGGGCGUGUAGGCGGUCCUUUAAGUCAGAAGUGCAAUCUGGGGGCUUAACCCCCAACCU